rnacentral:misc_RNA from 1 species
GAGAGAGAGAGAGAGAGAAUGUGUAAAAUGCAACGGCUUUAUUGAUGGAGAGGCAUUAUAAUCUUUUAUUUCUGCGCUAGUGGCCCAAAAAAUUAUGGUGAAAGUAAAGCAAUGUACCAGUGUCCGUGUGAGAGGCAUUAAUGCAACUAUCAUAUUAAUUUCACAACAUGCCAAACAAGAGAUGCUACAAAUUCAGAGAAAAAAAAAAAAAAGAUGCUACAAAUUCCAACGACAAAAGAACUAUGAAAAAAGGAGGUAUCUCUCUCACAUAAAACAAACAUUAGAAUGAAUGAUGGCAAGAAUCUAAUAGUGGUACAUAAAAUUUUAGUAAAAACACAUUACUUGAAUUCACAAGAAAAUGGUGGAAAGAAAUUCUUACCUUGCUUAUCUUUGGGACUACAGACCUUAGCAUGUACAGCCUAUCAUUGAGCUUCUUCCGGCGCCUCCUUUCUGCCAUCAAAUUCUUAGCAGG